rnacentral:rRNA from 1 species
CCUACGGGUGGCUGCAGUGGGGAAUAUUGCACAAUGGGGGAAACCCUGAUGCAGCGACGCCGCGUGAGUGAAGAAGUAUUUCGGUAUGUAAAGUUCUAUCAGCAGGGAAGAAAAUGACGGUACCUGAGUAAGAAGCCCCGGCUAACUACGUGCCAGCAGCCGCGGUAAUACGUAGGGGGCAAGCGUUAUCCGGAUUUACUGGGUGUAAAGGGAGCGUAGGCGGCGGUGCAAGUCAGGAGUGAAAGGCCGGGGCUCAACUCCGGGACUGCUCUGGAAACUGUAUGGCUGGAGUGCAGGAGAGGUAAGUGGAAUUCCUAGUGUAGCGGUGAAAUGCGUAGAUAUUAGGAGGAACACCAGUGGCGAAGGCGGCUUGCUGGACUGUAAAUGACGUUGAGGCUCGAAAGCGUGGGGAGCAAACAGGAUUAGAUACCCGUGUAGUC